UCUUCCGCAAUGGAGGAAAGUCUGACGGAGCAACGCCGCGUGAGUGAUGAAGGUUUUCGGAUCGUAAAACUCUGUUGUUAGGGAAGAACAAGUACCGUUCGAAUAGGGCGGCACCUCGACGGUACCUAACUAGAAAGACACGGCUAACUACGUGCCAGCAGCCGCGGUAAUACGUAGGUGGCAAGCGGUGGCCGGAAUUAUUGGGCGUAAAGCGCGCGCAGGCGGUUUCUUGAGUCUGAUGUGAAAGCCCCCGGCUCAACCGGGGAGGGUCAUUGGAAACUGGGGAACUUGAGUGCAGAAGAGGAGAGUGGAAUUCCACGUGUAGCGGUGAAAUGCGUAGAGAUGUGAAGGAACACCAGUGGCGAAGGCGACUCUCUGGUCUGUAACUGACGCUGAGGCGCGAAAGCGUGGGGAGCGAACAG
rnacentral:rRNA from 1 species